UGCGGACAUAUCAUAACGAAGAGGUAUCGUAAUUGAAGAGGUUUGGAAAGACCCACCACAGAAGGUAAUAGUCCUGUAUGUUAAACGAGAAGACUUUAGAUAUGAUCCAGAGUACCACGGGACACGUGAAACCCUGUGGGAAGCAGGAGGGACCACCCUCCAAGGCUAAAUACUACCUAGUGACCGAUAGCGUAUAGUACCGUGAGGGAAAGGUGAAAAGAACCCCGGGAGGGGAGUGAAAUAGAACCUGAAACCCUGCACUUACAAGCUGUGGAAGCACAUUUCUUGUGUGACCGCGUACUUUUUGUAGAACGGGCCAACGAGUUACGUUAAGUAGCAAGGUUAAGCACUUAAGGUGCGGAGCCGUAGCGAAAGCGAGUUUUAACUGAGCGUUCAGUUACUUGACGUAGACCCGAAACCGGGCGACCUACCCAUGAGCAGGAUGAAGCGAAAGUAAAAUUUCGUGGAGGUCCGAACCCACGAGCGUUGAAAAGCUCGGGGAUGACUUGUGGGUAGCGGUGAAAUUCCAAUCGAGCCCGGAGAUAGCUGGUUCUCCCCGAAAUAGCUUUAGGGCUAGCCUCAAGGUGAGAGAUACGGAGGUAGAGCACUGAAUGUCCUAGGGGGUAUUGCACCUACCGAAGACUAUCAAACUCCGAAUGCCGUCAUCUUAUACUUGGGAGUCAGACUGUGGGUGAUAAGAUUCAUAGUCGAAAGGGCAACAGCCCAGAUCGUCAGCUAAGGUCCCUAAAUGUAAGUUAAGUGGUAAAGGAUGUGGGAUUGCACAGACAACCAGGAUGUUGGCUUAGAAGCAGCCACUCAUUCAAAGAGUGCGUAAUAGCUCACUGGUCGAGUGAUCCUGCGCCGAAGAUUUCCGGGGCUAAAACUUACUACCGAAGCUACGGCAUCAGUAAUGAUGGGUAGGGGAGCUUCCCAUACGGGUUGAAGCAUGACCGUAAGGACAUGUGGACAGUAUGGGAGUGAGAAUGUUGGCAUGAGUAGCGAGAUGUGGGUGAGAAUCCCACAGGCCGUAAACCCAAGGUUUCCAGGGGAAGGUUCGUCCGCCCUGGGUUAGUCGGGACCUAAGCUGAGGCCGAAAGGCGUAGGUGAUGGACAACAGGUUGAUAUUCCUGUACUACCGAUAACCGUUUGAGAGAAGGGAUGACACAGUAGGAUAAGCUAAGCACACUGUUGGUUAUGUGUGCCCAAGCAUUGAGGCAGUCAAAGUAGGCAAAUCCGCUUUGAUAAUGCUGGGAUGUGAUGGGGAGCGAAAUUUAGUAGCGAAGUAGCUGAUUUCACACUGUCAAGAAAAGUCUCUAUCGAGGUUAAAGGUACCCGUACCGCAAACCGACACAGGUGGGUGAGGAGAGUAUCCUAAGGCCAGCGAGAGAACUGUUGUUAAGGAACUCGGCAAAAUGACCCCGUAACUUAGGGAUAAGGGGUGCCACCAUCAGGUGGCCGCAGAGAAUAGGCCCAAGCGACUGUUUACCAAAAACAUAGGUUUCUGCUAAGUCGCAAGACGAUGUAUAGGAGCUGACGCCUGCCCGGUGCUGGAAGGUUAAGGGGAUCUGUUAGAGCAAUCGAAGCAGUGAACUUAAGCCCCAGUAAACGGCGGCCGUAACUAUAACGGUCCUAAGGUAGCGAAAUUCCUUGUCGGGUAAGUUCCGACCCGCACGAAAGGCGUAACGAUUUGGGCACUGUCUCAACAACAGACUCGGUGAAAUUGUAAUUCCGGUGAAGAUGCCGGAUACCUGCGACAGGACGGAAAGACCCCAUGGAGCUUUACUGUAGCUUGACAUUGGGUCUUGGUACUACAUGUACAGGAUAGGUGGGAGGCUUUGAAACCAGGACGCCAGUUUUGGCGGAGCCAUCCUUGGGAUACCACCCUUGUAGUACUGGGACUCUAACCAUAG
rnacentral:rRNA from 1 species